UUGAACGCUGGCGGCAUGCUUUACACAUGCAAGUCGAACGGUAACAGCACUUCGGUGGCUGACGAGUGGCGAACGGGUGAGUAAGACAUCGGAACGUGCCUGGUAGUGGGGGAUAACUACUCGAAAGAGUAGCUAAUACCGCAUGAGAUCUAAGGAUGAAAGCAGGGGACCUUCGGGCCUUGUGCUACCAGAGCGGCUGAUGGCAGAUUAGGUAGUUGGUGGGGUAAAGGCCCACCAAGCCAACGAUCUGUAGCUGGUCUGAGAGGACGACCAGCCACACUGGGACUGAGACACGGCCCAGACUCCUACGGGAGGCAGCAGUGGGGAAUUUUGGACAAUGGGCGCAAGCCUGAUCCAGCAAUGCCGCGUGCAGGAUGAAGGCCUUCGGGUUGUAAACUGCUUUUGUACGGAACGAAAAGGCUCUCUCUAAUACAGAGGGCUCAUGACGGUACCGUAAGAAUAAGCACCGGCUAACUACGUGCCAGCCGCCGCGGUAACAC
rnacentral:rRNA from 1 species